rnacentral:lncRNA from 1 species
CACAUUUCAUGUUUUAUUAUUUUUUUUAAACUCAACUCUUCCCAGAACACUUUAUAAUAAAGAUAACAUGUAAUAUACUAUAUACAUCUCUUUAAAAUAGUCAAGUACCCUAAUGCCCUUAAAACAGGGUCUGGUAAGCCAGUAAGGUCAAUUAUAGUUGACAAAAUCCACUCAGCAUGGGGCAUGCCAUGUCACAGCACCCAGUACAACGUUGGGACUGUUCACAGGUUAUCCUUCAUUAGGAAAGAAAAAUUAGAACUUUUGUGUUCUAGUUGUUUUUACUUCCACCUAAAUAAGUGCUUAUGCAUGUUGUCUUGACAGAUAUUUUUGGAAUUUAAAAAUUGGGGAUC